AAUUCAAAUACGAAAUGAGGUUAUAACCAUCAGAUUGGCCCAGAUUGAUUCAAUCUGGGCCGUUGGCUGACACUGUAAUAGCUGUGAAAUGUCACUAGACGGGUUGCUAUCCUGAAUUAUCUUUAUUAGUUUAUUAUGAUAUAUGUUUAUAAAUGAGGUUAUUUUAUGUUCAUUGCAAUGAGUUAGUUUCUCUUCCUCGCUUGUUUUUUUGCACUCUCUUCCAUCUACUUCUUACAUAUGUCAAACUCUUAUCCCCUCUUUGUCAUCUCUUUAUAUCACCAUGCAAUUUUUUGUAAGUUUGAAAUCAAAAUUUUGUUUUACUUAUAAUUUUUCGCUAUAUCCAACAUUUUAGAAUUAACAAACUAAUGGCCCUUGGCUGGUUUAAAUUUUAGUAGGUUUCUCCUUUUCUCUCUUCAAUUAGAGCACUGCCUCCUUCACUUAGCACUAACAUGCUCAUCUGCAUCUGUUAGAAUUAACAAACUGAUGAUCCUGUUGGUCUAAAUUUUAGAGUAGGGGUUUCUUAAGUUUCUGGUACUCCAAUGAAAUUAUAUUUAUGCAUGCUUUGUCAACAUCUUGUAUAUCUUUUGGUUCAACAUCAGCCCAACUUCCAUAGGUUUCUUUCCUGAUAUUUUCAGUUUUAAUAUUAGAGACACCAGUAUCCUCAUCAUCAUGCUUCUCAAUUCCAAGAUUGACAUCUCAUUUGUUUAUGUUUACAAUUAGAGCAUGUUUGUUUGGGGGAAGGAUUGUCUCCAGAAGACAAACUUUCUCCAUUACUUUAGCAUGGAAGUGCUAAAGUACAUCCUACACACGAGUUCUUCCUCCAAAAUGGUAACAAUUUUCGACGGGGUGCGCAAUCCCUACCUUUCUUCCUUGUCACUCAACUUUUUUUCCCUGCCAUAUGAGAGCUAAAACCAGGUACCCCGAUCUUUCUCCCUCGCCAGGUGAGAACUAAAACCAGGUACCCCAACCUUUCUUCCUCGCCAGGUGAGAGCUAAAACCAGGGACAGAGAUGUUUACAUUUAGGGUUGAAUGGAGUUGCAUAAAGAGGAGAUGAUCUUCUUUUGUGAGGUGAAGAGGUGGUGAAAGAGAGAGAGAAUGAUGAGAGAGGGGGUUUGGCCUCAUAAAGGGUAUUCACAUUGUGGGCUUCUUGAUUGCAUGAUCUGAUAGCAGGGACAGAGAUGUUUACAUUUAGGGUUGAAUGGAGUUGCAUAAAGAGGAGAUGAUCUUCUUUUGUGAGGUGAAGAGGUGGUGAAAGAGAGAGAGAAUGAUGCAUUUAGUGGCCCACAUAGGUUGGCCUCAGCAGCGGUAUGAAGAAGGUUGUUGCAUGGUUGCAGGAUAACUUCCCCUCUCAUUUAUCUCUAUUAUGUAGCUUUUUUCUCCCUCUUUGCCUUCUUUUUUUCUAUCCUUUUUAAGUGCUAUGAAUGCGGAAGGAUGGGAAUGUGGGUCGAUGGUUUUGAUCAUCGCUUUACUCUCAUGUUGUCAUAGCUGAUGCUGACUUUGUUGUAUUCUUCUCAUCUAUCAUGGAAGGCAAUUACUUGGCAUUGAGAACAUUGCCCUGAAUCUGUUGCUACUACGGGUUUAGAAGGCAUUUUCUUGUGUUU